AUGAAACUUGUCCAGAAAGUAAGAGAAGGGGGAGAAUGUGAGAAAGAUUGAUACUAUUGCCAAGUUUUGAUCUAAAUAAAGAAAAUGACAUAUUUGCAAAAUAUAUUUAAUGUGCCUAACAGAAUGAUGCGCUUGAAAAAAACAAAAUUGAUAAUAUUGCACCAAAAGUUGAUAAUAUUGCAUCAAAGAAACUGAAAUACCUAGAGACAGAGCAGUCUCUCUACUUUUUCCAGGAGCAAAAGGUAGAUGGACAUCAAAUGUCUACAAAUAUGAAAAUGACCACAAUAGAGAGAUCCAGACGAUGGUACCUCAUGCAUCUGUAAAAUGGGAUGAGACGGAUCUUUGGAGAGAGAAUGAGAACAGUGAAGUGUGGAGGAGAAUGCAUAUCUUCCAAAAGAAAAUCUGGGAUAUAUAGAAUAAUGAAGAAUAAAUUAAAAUUCCAAAAGAAGAUCAAAGGCACAGGGAUGAAGGUGCAAAUAUUUCCCAAUAUUUUCUGUGUGGCUGAAUAAAUCCAUACAUGCAGAACCGCAGGAUAUGAAGGCCUCAUUAUAUAAGAAGAAUAAUGAAACUAAUCAAAGUGCAUAUUUAUGCAAUGACAUUCACAAAG